CUGACCUCGAAUCAGGUGGGACUACCCGCUGAACUUAAGCA
rnacentral:rRNA from 1 species